UACCAGACUCCUACGGGAGGCAGCAGUGAGGAAUAUUGGUCAAUGGUCGGGAGACUGAACCAGCCAAGCCGCGUGAGGGAGGAAGGUACAGAGUAUCGUAAACCUCUUUUGUCAGGGAACAAAGGCGGGGACGUGUCCCCGGAUGAGUGUACCUGAAGAAAAAGCAUCGGCUAACUACGUGCCAGCAGCCGCGGUAAUACGUAGGUGGCAAGCGUUAUCCGGAUUUACUGGGUGUAAAGGGCGUGUAGGCGGGGACGCAAGUCAGAUGUGAAAACCACGGGCUCAACCUGUGGCCUGCAUUUGAAACUGUGUUUCUUGAGUACUGGAGAGGCAGACGGAAUUCCUAGUGUAGCGGUGAAAUGCGUAGAUAUUAGGAGGAACACCAGUGGCGAAGGCGGUCUGCUGGACAGCAACUGACGCUGAGGCGCGAAAGCGUGGGGAGCAAACAGGAUUAGAUACCCUGGUAC
rnacentral:rRNA from 1 species